ensembl:lncRNA
UACGGGGAGUCAAACAUUUAAUAAAGAACGGACAUGAGACAGGAACAGCGUCAGUAAACUAAUAAUACAGACAAAAAACAAUCAAUGCAUCAGCAGGGAAACUGACAAAUAUAGGCAAGGUAAUAAACAGAUAAGUGAGUCCAAUAUAGCUGAAGAGCAUGACAAGGAAAGGCAGGUGUGCGUAGUGGAUGAUAGGAGUGAGUGAUGCAGGGCAGCCUGGCACCCUCAAGCACCUGGGGGGGAAGAGCAGGAGCAGACGUGAAAAAUAAUCUAUAUUCUAUCAAUAGCAAUGAUUAUGAUUAGGAUACACAAUUAAAUUAAUAUAUGUCAACUGUAUUCAAAAUGUCCACAUGGAUACUAAAGGAAAGUAAAUCAAAUGUAGUCUUUUGCUCACUCUAAUCUGGAAUGCAUUUACCAGAUGCUUGUCACCUUUCACCUUUACCUAGUUUGUUUUCAGAUAAUAAUACAAGACAGUAAAAACUAUAUCAGUAGGCAUACAUUCUAUACAUUAGAGUAAUAAAAUAUGAACAGGCCUAAAAACACAAUAAAAAUGCAGUGCAUGAAGAAAGCUAUUGUUCCGAAAACAUUUCAAAUCACGGUUUACAGUUUACUAAAGGUGUUAGAGCAUAGGCUUUAGGCUAUAACUUGGAAGGGUGCUUCAGGCAAUAUUUUAACAACUAAUGCAAUCCCUUUUUAAUUCAUAUUCAUUUGGGUUCUGAUGUAUGACACACAAAUAAUUGUGGCCACAAUGAAAAUCAGGAUGUUUAUGCUGAGAAAAACAUGGUUCAGCCAAGUGAGAGCAUGUUCCUGUUUGAUUUCUGAAACAAGAGGAAAGUGGUUGUUACACUCAUGUCUACUUGAAUAGUAGGCUAACAAAACAGACACAUGUCAAAUUGUACCAACACUUACCCUUUGGGACCAGUGUUGUCAACUUUGAGACCAGGGUCAUCUGGUUGAUGUCUUACACAGGAAAAAGGAGAGAUGGCCACUUUACAAUAUUAUAAACAAUUUCUUUAGAAUUUCAUCAGAAAUUCAGCUGCAUAACAAUGUUUUUUUUUUGUAAUGUAGCCUAUAUGCGUGUUACAUUCUUAAAAGUGUUUCAAAAGUAUGCAUAAGCUACAACAAUUUUGUGGUUGUUGGGUAACACCCAAACGUGUGCUUUCUGUCAUUAUGAAUUAUUAUGUAACAGUACAAAAGUACAGAAAAAAAACAUAAGAACUUCUCUGGUGUUUUCAUCUGCAAAAGUUUUUGAAAGCAAACUAAAGUUGUAUCCAUAUUUUCUGAAAACCAAUGUAAUUUAAACCAAUUACAUGUCAAUGGUGGUGUUGAUGAUAUACAUACCUUCAAAAAUGUGAAGUGUGCCACCCUCCCCAUAAACCUUGCUGUUGACACUGUCAAUGAUGCACUUUGCGAUGCAAAUUGGCAUAAUGGUGUCACUCAAGGUCAGGUUUCUCAAUGUCAUAGUAGUAGCUGUUUUGCUCAAAUUCAUGUUGACACGAUGCUUAUACAACUCCAAACUUGUGACAUCACCUUGAUCUUCAAUGAUCCAUCUCAUUUUGCAAUUUCUUAUUUCCUCAUGAUCUGAGGUUAUGUUGCAAUUAAGAGCAGCUGUUUCCCCUACUAUGUAAGCAUUCUUUGAGGACCACUGGUUCAUCCACACCCUGGCAUUUGCAGGGACUAGGAGGAAACAAACAUACAUAGUAAUGAAUGUCUGAACUACCCUUUAACCUUAACUUGCAUGCAGUAUGAUUGUCAACAUCUUCUGAAAAUGUUCAAGAAAUACAGCCACCAAUAACAUCAAGAGGACCAGAAAAGAUGGAAGAUGGAAAAGAUUUGGGAAAGAACCAUGAACCAACCAUUGAAUUAAAUUGUAAUGACGGUGCAAUUCACAUAUGUACUAACAUCAUAGAUUGUAGAUGGACUGGCUUCUUGAAAGACGUUGUAUUUGAUUGCCCGCUUGAUAAUGACAAGUUUCAAUGUUCAGUGGAGACGGAUGAAGUAAAGAAAAACAAGGAAGAACAACAAACAGUACCAGUGGCACCGAUAUGCAAAGACAAUAGAAGCUGUGGAUUCCCUACAACAUUUGUAGGUGAAAGUGUAAGAUGCACCAUACGUAUGCAAACACAACUACCAACAACAUCAAGAAAACCAGACAAUCUGAAGAAUAAAACAGAGCCAAAACACAAUAUACCCUGGUGGAUUUGGUUAAUAACUUUCCUUUGGCCUUUUGCCUUUGACAUUAGCGUUGGCAUUGAUGUUGGGAUUUGGAUUAAUCAAUGUCAGGAGAAAAAGGAUUAAUUUGAGACACGUGAUGAGGCGCAUAGAAGUGGAUGGAAUGAUAUAAAAAACAAAUGAGGAGGUAUUAUUGCAGGGGUUAACCUAUGGGUCCACUAGUAUGAGCCAUCAUCACCAUUUAGCCAGCAGGCUAUUUUAAUACUAAUCUCAUUGGGGUAAAUUAAUCAAAUGUUUUAAAAGAUAUAUAAAAUCUGCAUGGAUUAGUGUUUGCCAUCAUGUGUGACGCAGUGAUAAAACACCUGAAAGAAUGCCUACAUUAACAUACAGUACCAGUCAAAAGUUUGGAGACACCUACUCAUUCCAGGGUUUUUCUUAAUCUUUUACUAUCUUCUACAUUGUAGAGUAAUAGUAAAGAAGACAUCAAAACUUUGAAAUAACACAUAUUGAAUCAUGUAGUAAGCAAAAAAAGUGUUAAACAAAUCCAAAUAUAUUUUAGAUUUGAAAUUCUUCAAAGUAGCCACCCUUUGCCUUGAUGACAGCUUGGCACACUCUUGGCAUUCUCUCAACCAGCUUAAUGAGGAAUGCUUGAAGAAGUUCCCACAUAUGCUGAGCAGUUGUUGGCUGCUUUUCCUCCACUCUGCGGUCCCAAACAAUCUCAAUUGGGUUGAGUUCGGGUGAUUGUGGAGGACAGGUCAUCUGAUGCAGCACUCCAUCACUCUCCUUGGUCAAAUAGACCUUACACAGCUUGGAGGUGUGUUUUGGGUCAUUGUCCUGUUGAAAACAAAUGAUAGUCCCACUAACCUUACAGUGAAAUGCUUACUUACAGGCCUCUAACCAACAAUGCAGUUUAAAAAAUAUGAAUAAGAAUAAGAAAUAAAAGUAACAAGUAGUUAAAGAGCAGCAGAAAAAUAACAAUAGUGAGACUAUAUACAGGGGGUACCGGUACAGAGUCAAUGUGCGGGGGCACUGGUUAGUUGAGGUAAUAUGUACAUGUAGGUUAUUAAAGUUAUUAAAGUGACUAUGCAUAGAUAAUAACAUAGUAGCAACGGCAUAAUAGAGGGGAGGGGGGGGGCAAUGCAAAUAGUCUGGGUAGCCAUUUUAUUAGAUGUUCAGGAGUGUAAUGGUUUGGGGAUAGAAGCUGUUUAGAAGCCUCUUGGACCUAGACUUGGCACUCCGGUACCGCUUGCUGUGCGGUAGCAGGGGGGGCUGGAGUCUUUUUGGGGGGCUGGAGUCUUUAACAAUUUUAGGGCCUUCCUCUGACACUGCCUGGUAUAGAAGUCCUGGAUGGCAGGAAGCUUGGCCCCAGUGAUGUACUGGGCCAUACGCACUACCCUCUGUAAUGCCUUGCGGUCGGAGGCCGAGCAGUUGCCAUACCAGGCAAUGGUGCAACCAGUCAGGAUGCUGUUGAUGGUGCAGCUGUAAAACCUUUUGAGAAUCUGAGAACCCAUGCCAAAUCUUUUCAGUCUCCUGAGGGGGAAUAGGUUUUGUUGUGCCCUCUUCACGACUGUCUUGGUGUGCUUGGACCAUGUUAGUUUGUUGGUGAUGUGGACGCCAAGGAACUUGAAGCUCUCAACCUGCAGCUCCGUCAAUGAGAAUGGGGUCCGGUCCUCCUUUUCCUGUAGUCCACAAUCAUCUCCUUUGACUUGAUCACAUUGAGGGGGAGGUUAUUGUCCUGGCUCCACAUGAAGCUGGUUGAGCUGUCAUCAAGGCAAAGGGUGGCUACUUUGAAGAAUGUCAAAUAUAAAAUAUAUUUUGAUUUGUUUGACACUUUUGGUUACUACAUGAUUCCAUAUGUGUUAGUUACUUCAUAGUUUUGAUGUCUUCACUAUUAUCUACAAUGUAGAAAAUAGUCAAAAUUAAGAAAAACCCUGGAAUGAGUAGGUGUGUCCAAACCUUUGACUGGUACUGUACCUUAACAGAAAGUUUGAAAAUGGUUUACAGUAGUUACUACAAAUGUUAUUAUAAGGAGUAAUUAAUAUGACCGCCACAAAAUGACAUACGAUCAAAGGCUUCUCCCUCUUCUAUUGUUAGUUUAAUAAUCUGAUAAUAUGUGAAGCAUGACUCAGGUGGAACGUGGGUGGUUUCAUAACAUCCACUCACUCAAUCUACUCCCCAUGACUCAACCUUACUGUGAACUGCUGGGGCUCAAACUGGAUAUAGCUGUUUUAAUGUUUGCGACACUACUAACUACACUAACUGCAUUAAUCAUCAACUGAUAUGAGUAUUUUGACUUCAUCCUAACCCCAAUUACAAUACUUUUCAAGAUACCAAACAAAUAACAUAAUAUUUGGUUAAGAUAUGAUAAGAUGAUCAUUUUAGAAGAGAGCAAAGGACUUUUUUUGUCCAUGUCACUGGAAUGAUGGAAUGAACUUUAUUUGUCCAUACAGUGUAGUUACUGUUUUGCCUAACCCUCUCCUACCUAGGACUUAUUGUUUACUACUUUUAAAUACUAAUUGUGUUUGUGCACUUCCUCAAGAAAAUAUUUAUGUUCAAUUUUAAUUAUUGAAAUGUUUUUUUUUCUGUAAUUUAGGAUUUUAUAAUUGUGGGGAUUUCUUCUACUGUUGUUUUUGAUUUACAGUACCUACGGUGCAUUUUGUGCUUGCUUCAUUAUCCUUAUUGGGAUGCACUCAUUGCUUGAUCAUCAGCUAAAUUAUUCAAUUGUUCAUUGUAAUUCUAAUUGUCACGCCCUGGUCUUAGUAUUUUGUGUUUAUAUAUUAUUUGGUCAGGCCAGGGUGUGACAUGGGGUUAUUUUGUGUUGUGUUGUGGUAUUGGGGGUUUUAGUAGGUAUUGGGAUUGUGGCUGAGUAGGGGUGUCUAGCAUAGUCUAUGGCUGCCUGAGGUUCUCAAUCAGAGUCAGGUGAUUCUCGUUGUCUCUGAUUGGGAACCAUAUUUAGGUAGCCUGGGUUUCACUGUGUGUUUGUGGGUGAUUGUUCCUUUCUUAGUGUUUUGUAUUUCACCAGAUAGGCUGUUGUCAUUAUUUCAUUUUGUUAGAUUUGUAGUUUCUGUAUGUAUAGGUUUUCCUUCAUUAAAAUAUAUCAUGAAUCAUCAUCACGCUGCAUUUUGGUCCGAUCCUUGUUCUACCUCUUCGUCAGAGGAGGAGAUAGAAGAGAGCCGUUACACUAAUGUUACAUUUUAGAUUGUUC